UUGUGGCCCCAAAGAUACCAGGUGGGGUUGACACAUGACAUGCCAACACAACAACAGAAAGAAGAGAAAGUGUUGGGUUUUUCAUUUUCAAACCAAACACAUUACCUCGGAAUACGGAAAAAGCAAGAACCCUUCACUUUCUCUCUCUUUUUUUGGUGGCAGUAAUGUAAGUUUAAAGCCUCUUCUCUUCUUUGCUCCAGUUUUCUCUAGCUGUCUCCGAUUUCUUCCCUCUCCACAAAUUUGCCAAUCUGGUGCUUCAGUGAAUGCUCACUCUUGCCAUGGCAUUUUCUGUUACUGUGCCCACCUCCUCAACAUUUGGUUUCUGCUUAAAAGGCAUGGAAGAGUUAACGGUGCCUGCUGCAAGGAUUCAAUCCUCGUUGGUAACACCUGAAUGCUUCAUUGGCACUUGAAGGUAUUGGUGUUAUGGAUUAAUACACCAUUGGAAUUGGGAAUGAAGCCAUCGGUCCUGAUAGUUUAAUUUAUAUGUACUAUAUUGAAUUUUUUGUACAUGAUAUGAUGUAGACCGGAUCAAUCAUUUGUUGAACAUCAUCAAUUUGCUAUAAAUAGCAACCUAUUGAACAUGUCUACAUUAUGUCCUUCUAGUUAUCUAGAUAUUGGCAUGAAAUCCCCCCUUUAAUUGAUUUUGCAGCACCCUUGCACUUAGUUAUCUUGCA